GAUGAACGCUGGCGGCGUGCCUAAUACAUGCAAGUCGAGCGAACAGACGAGGAGCUUGCUCCUCUGACGUUAGCGGCGGACGGGCGAGUAACACGUGGAUAACCUACCUAUAAGACUGGGAUAACUUCGGGAAACCGGAGCUAAUACCGGAUAAUAUAUUGAACCGCAUGGUUCAAUAGUUAAAGACGGCUUUGCUGUCACUUAUAGAUGGAUCCGCGCCGCAUUAGCUAGUUGGUAAGGUAACGGCUUACCAAGGCAACGAUGCGUAGCCGACCUGAGAGGGUGAUCGGCCACACUGGAACUGAGACACGGUCCAGACUCCUACGGGAGGCAGCAGUAGGGAAUCUUCCGCAAUGGGCGAAAGCCUGACGGAGCAACGCCGCGUGAGUGAUGAAGGUCUUCGGAUCGUAAAACUCUGUUAUUAGGGAAGAACAAAUGUGUAAGUAACUAUGCACGUCUUGACGGUACCUAAUCAGAAAGCCACGGCUAACUACGUG
rnacentral:rRNA from 1 species